rnacentral:rRNA from 1 species
UGGAAUCGCUAGUAAUCGCAGGUCAGCAUACUGCGGUGAAUACGUUCCCGGGUCUUGUACACACCGCCCGUCACACCAUGGGAGCCGGAAAUGCCCGAAGCCAGUGACCCCAACCUUUAGGGAGGGGAGCUGUCGAAGGUGGAGCCGGUAACUGGGGUGAAGUCGUAACAAGGUACC